UCUAGUGUAAUAGAGUAGGCGCAGCAUGUAUCUAUCUAUAUACUUCCGUCUUCUGUCCUUUCUUUCCUUUCUCUCUUUCUGUCUCUCUUGAAAAUUCAGCAUCUAUUAUUUGGAAGAGAGAGAAAAAAAAAAAAAGAAUAAUGGAGAAGGGGAGAGAGAGUUGAUUCUGUUACCGGCGGUCUCUAAUUCGCUUGGUGCAGGUCGGGAACUGAUUGGCUUUUCUAUUUCUAAUGAUUUCCAGGCGGCGAAAAGUUAUUGGUCAAGAUUAGAUGGAAAGUGAAUUGGAUCCCGCCUUGCAUCAACUGAAUCGAAGACCGGGGUGAAGGGUUGGUUUCGUGGACCUUGAGAUUUUAUCUGCCGUUACUGUUCAGAUCUCAGUAUUGAUUGUGACGCUUGAGGAUUGAACGGAAAUAUCCUGCUUAAUGUCAAAGCUUUGGGCUUCAUCAACUGCUCAUGUACUGUCCCUGCUCCAGAUUUCAUGGCUAUGGUCUUGCUGGUUAGAACAAGAAAAAGAUUUGACUCCAAUUCUUUUUGGCAACUUGGCUUUGUUGCCCAGCAUCCUCUUUGAGAUUUGCAGGUUGUCGUCCUGGCAGUAUCCUUGUUAAGGUUUAUCAAGUGCUCAUGUUCUCUAACAUGCUGCAGACAUUCCACCCAACCCCCAACCCUUCCUUCUUCCAUCAUUGGAUGAUGCCAAGGAGGACUAGCUUACAACAGAAGUUACAUAUAAACGAUUGUGACUUUCAGUUAUUGAAUUUAAUAACAAAGAUCCACACUUGAACAGCUCGGUAUAAUUCAUUUUCAGUAAGAAAUGAGAACGAGGUGUUUGGUUUGGUAA